ACGUACUGUGCGAACGUUAUUCGGAAUCACUGGGCUUAAAGGGUGCGUAGGUGGCAAUCCAAGUCAGAUGUGAAAUGCCUGAGCUUAACUGAGGCACUGCGUUUGAAACUGGACUGCUAGAGUAUUUCAGGGGUGUGCGGAACUGCCAGUGGAGCGGUGAAAUGUGUUGAUAUUGGCAGGAACACCGGAGGCGAAAGCGGCACACUGGGGAAUAACUGACACUGAGGCACGAAAGCCAGGGGAGCGAACG
rnacentral:rRNA from 1 species